AUUGAACGCUGGCGGCAUGCCUUACACAUGCAAGUCGAACGGUAACGCGGGGCAACCUGGCGACGAGUGGCGAACGGGUGAGUAAUACAUCGGAACGUGCCCAGUAGUGGGGGAUAGCCCGGCGAAAGCCGGAUUAAUACCGCAUACGACCUACGGGUGAAAGCGGGGGAUCGCAAGACCUCGCGCUAUUGGAGCGGCCGAUGUCAGAUUAGCUAGUUGGUGGGGUAAAAGCUCACCAAGGCGACGAUCUGUAGCUGGUCUGAGAGGACGACCAGCCACACUGGGACUGAGACACGGCCCAGACUCCGACGGGAGGCCGCAGUGGGGAAUUUUGGACAAUGGGGGCAACCCUGAUCCAGCCACGCCGCGUGCGGGAAGAAGGCCUUCGGGUUGUAAACCGCUUUUGUCAGGGAAGAAACGGUCUGCGCUAAUACCGCGGACUAAUGACGGUACCUGAAGAAUAAGCACCGGCUAACUACGUGCCAGCCGCCGCCGUAAUAC
rnacentral:rRNA from 1 species